rnacentral:rRNA from 1 species
AUUGAACGCUGGCGGCAUGCUAUACACAUGCAAGUCGAACGGUAACAGGGAGCUUGCUCCGCUGACGAGCGGCGAACGGGUGAGUAAUAUAUCGGAACGUACCCAAGAGUGGGGGAUAACGUAGCGAAAGUUACGCUAAUACCGCAUACGAUCUAUGGAUGAAAGCAGGGGACCUUCGGGCCUUGUGCUCCUGGAGCGGCCGAUAUCUGAUUAGCUAGUUGGUGAGGUAAAGGCUCACCAAGGCGACGAUCAGUAGCUGGUCUGAGAGGACGACCAGCCACACUGGAACUGAGACACGGUCCAGACUCCUACGGGAGGCAGCAGUGGGGAAUUUUGGACAAUGGGCGCAAGCCUGAUCCAGCAAUGCCGCGUGAGUGAAGAAGGCCUUCGGGUUGUAAAGCUCUUUUGUCAGGGAAGAAACGGCUGUGGCUAAUAUCCACGGCUAAUGACGGUACCUGAAGAAUAAGCACCGGCUAACUACGUGCCAGCAGCCGCCGUAA